AUACUUACCUGGAUGGGGUCUAUGGGAGAUCAAUAAGGCCCAUGACCUAGGUCAGUGAUCUCCACUGCACUUGGGAGAGGUGCUCGCCUAAGGUCUCCACAUGUGGGAGAGCCUACAUCAUAAUUUGUGGCAGUGGGGGCUUGCGUUCGCGCAGCCCUCGU